UACGGGGGGGGCAAGCGUUGUCCGGAUUUACUGGGCGUAAAGAGCGCGCAGGCGGUCGGAUAAGUCGAAUGUGAAAGCCCCCGGCUCAACUGGGGAGGGUCAUUCGAUACUGUUCGACUCGAAGGCAGGAGAGGGAAGUGGAAUUCCCGGUGUAGUGGUGAAAUGCGUAGAUAUCGGGAGGAACACCAGUGGCGAAGGCGACUUCCUGGCCUGUUCUUGACGCUGAGGCGCGAAAGCUAGGGGAGCAAACGGGG
rnacentral:rRNA from 1 species